CCUACGGGAGGCUGCAGUGGGGAAUAUUGCACAAUGGGCGCAAGCCUGAUGCAGCCAUGCCGCGUGUGUGAAGAAGGCCUUCGGGUUGUAAAGCACUUUCAGCGGGGAGGAAGGCGUUAAGGUUAAUAACCUUGGCGAUUGACGUUACCCGCAGAAGAAGCACCGGCUAACUCCGUGCCAGCAGCCGCGGUAAUACGGAGGGUGCAAGCGUUAAUCGGAAUUACUGGGCGUAAAGCGCACGCAGGCGGUCUGUCAAGUCGGAUGUGAAAUCCCCGGGCUCAACCUGGGAAUUGCAUUCGAAACUGGCAGGCUAGAGGCUUGUAGAGGGGGGUAGAAUUCCAGGUGUAGCGGUGAAAUGCGUAGAGAUCUGGAGGAAUACCGGUGGCGAAGGCGGCCCCCUGGACAAAGACUGACGCUCAGGUGCGAAAGCGUGGGGAGCAAACAGGAUUAGAUACCCUUGUAGUC
rnacentral:rRNA from 1 species